UCCUCGGUAGCUCAAUGGUAGAGCGUGCGGCUGUUAACCGCAGGGUUGCAGGUUCGAGUCCUGCCCGAGGAGCCA
rnacentral:tRNA from 3 species